rnacentral:hammerhead_ribozyme from 1 species
AUCCAGUUGACGAGUCUCAAAUAGGACGAAACACGCGUCCUGGAU